rnacentral:rRNA from 1 species
AUGGCAUUGGAGGCCGCGGUGCUCUCCCGCGCUGCUGCUGGUCUCUUCGGUCGCUGCGCCAUGGCCGGGGCGGGAGGAGCUUGGAAUGGUCUCUUCGGUGGGAGCGAAGGGCUGGCGGGCUUGGACGGCGGGGACUGGGACGCCGCCGUCGCGGCGGCGUGCUCGUCGAUGCUGCUGCCUCCAGCUGCGUUCCAGGACCUGGAUAUCUCCGCUACUGCGCCGCAGGAGGAGUCCGGAGGUCGCGGCGAGAUGAGCGCGGCCGGCGUGGGUCAGGACGAUGCUGCGCCGGUGACGGCGGCGGCGACGGGGCGGAGGAAGCGGCGGCGGACGAGGACGGCCAAGAACUCGGAGGAGGUGGAGAGCCAGCGGAUGACCCACAUUGCCGUCGAGCGCAACCGCCGCAAGCAGAUGAACGAGUACCUCGCCGCGCUCCGCUCCCUCAUGCCGCCCUCCUACGCGCUAAGGGGUGAUCAGGCGUCUAUCGUCGGAGGUGCGAUCAACUUCGUCAAGGAGCUGGAGCAGCUGCUCCAGACCCUGGAGACGCAGAGGCAGACACGGGAACGCGCGGCCGUCGACGGCGGGGAAGCGCAGCCACCGCUGUUCGCCAACUUCUUCACCUUCCCGCAGUACUCAAUGAGCGUUACCUCGGCACCGGCGCCUCCUCCGGCGAACAACGACGAGGGUGCCGACGGCUGCGCCGAGGCGGAGGCGUCCGGAUCAAAGCCGUCGGCGGUGGCGGACGUGGAGGUGACCAUGGUGGAGAGCCACGCCAACCUGCGGAUGCUGUCCCGGCGGCGGCCGAGGCAGCUGCUGCGGCUGCUGGUGGGGCUGCAGGGACACCGGCUCACGGUGCUGCACCUCAACAUGAGCAGCGCCAGCCACAUGGUGCUCUACUCGCUCAGCCUCAAGGUGGAGGACGAUUGCCAACUUACCUCCGUGGAUGAGAUCGCCACCGCGGCCCAUCAGAUCAUCGAGAAGAUCCAAGAAGAGCAAGACUUCACUUCAGCUUAG